rnacentral:tRNA from 1 species
GGGCUGGUAGCUCAGUUGGUUAGAGCGCGCGCUUGAUAAGCGUGAGGUCGCUGGUUCAAAUCCAGCUCGGCCCA